UACGUAGGGUGCGAGCGUUGUCCGGAAUUAUUGGGCGUAAAGAGCUCGUAGGCGGUCUGUCGCGUCGAUCGUGAAAACUUGGGGCUUAACCCUGAGCUUGCGGUCGAUACGGGCAUGACUGGAGUUCGGCAGGGGAGACUGGAAUUCCUGGUGUAGCGGUGAAAUGCGCAGAUAUCAGGAGGAACACCAGUGCGAAGGCGGCUCUGG
rnacentral:rRNA from 1 species